rnacentral:rRNA from 1 species
AGUAAAAUCCGGGUCGGGUCGCCUCAGUGACAAGCCGAGCGGAAGAGUUUCUCCGGAAACUUGAGAGCGGCGUACGGGUGCGGAACACGUGUGCAACCUGCCUUUAUCAUGGGGAUAGCCUUUCGAAAGGAAGAUUAAUACCCCAUAAUAUUUAGAAUGGCAUCAUUUUAAAUUGAAAACUCCGGUGGAUAGAGAUGGGCACGCGCAUGAUUAGAUAGUUGGUGAGGUAACGGCUCACCAAGUCUGCUAUCUUUAGGGGGCCUGAGAGGGUGAUCCCCCACACUGGUACUGACACACGGACCAGACAUCCUACUGGAGGCAGCAGUGAGGAAUAUUGGACAAUGGGUGCUAGCCUGAUACCAGCCAUCCCGCGUGAAGGACAAGUCGGCCCUAUGGGUUGUAAACUUCUUUUGUAUAGGGAUAAACCUAUCCUCGUGAGGGUAGCUGAAAGCACUAUACUAAUAAGCACCGGCUAACUCCGUGCCAGCAACCUCGGCAAUACGGAGGGUGCAAGCGUUAUCCGGAUUUAUUGGGUUUAAAGGGUCCGUAGGCGGAUCUGUAAGUCAGUGGUGAAAUCUCGUCAGCUUAAUCUGUGAAACUGCCAUUGAUACUGCAGGUCUUGAGUGUUGUUGAASUAACUGGAAUAAAUAGUGUAGCGGUGAAAUGCAUAGAUAUUACUUACAACACCAAUUGCGAACCUGGUUACUAUGCACCAACUGACGCUGAUGGACGAAAGCGUGGGGAGCGAACAGGAUUAGAUACCCUGUGUAGUCCACGCCUACACAACGAUGCUAACUCGUUUUUUGGUAUUUCGGUAUCAGAAACUAAGCGAAAGUGAGUAGUUAGCCACCUGGGGAGUACGUUCGCAAGUAAUGAAACUUCAACGAAGUGACGGUGGUCCCGCACAAGGCCGCUGGAAUUAAUGCUGCUUAUUCGAAUGAAUAUCUGGAGGAACCUUUGAACCUAGGCGCCUAACAUGUGGGGGGAAAACGCACCGUGUG